rnacentral:rRNA from 1 species
GAUGAACGCUGGCGGCGUGCCUAAUACAUGCAAGUCGAGCGAAUGGAUUAAGAGCUUGCUCUUAUGAAGUUAGCGGCGGACGGGUGAGUAACACGUGGGUAACCUGCCCAUAAGACUGGGAUAACUCCGGGAAACCGGGGCUAAUACCGGAUAACAUUUUGAACCGCAUGGUUCGAAAUUGAAAGGCGGCUUCGGCUGUCACUUAUGGAUGGACCCGCGUCGCAUUAGCUAGUUGGUGAGGUAACGGCUCACCAAGGCAACGAUGCGUAGCCGACCUGAGAGGGUGAUCGGCCACACUGGGACUGAGACACGGCCCAGACUCCUACGGGAGGUAGCAGUAGGGAAUCUUCCGCAAUGGACGAAAGUCUGACGGAGCAACGCCGCGUGAGUGAUGAAGGCUUUCGGGUCGUAAAACUCUGUUGUUAGGGAAGAACAAGUGCUAGUUGAAUAAGCUGGCACCUUGACGGUACCUAACCAGAAAGCCCCGGCUAACUUCGUGCCAGCCGCCGCAGUAA